ensembl:lncRNA
AGAAGGCGCUAGGAGCAAAGGAAAGUGGUUUUUCUAACAAACUCAUAUAAUCAAGUGCACAACGUACUCCAAUUUGAUUUUUUUCACAUAGUUAGACAUAAUAUAGUACUAAGAAAUGUUUCUGACCCAAAAAUAUUACGAAAUAUGAUUGUUUACAUUAAAGUGCAAAAGUUGAUGAAAAAGUAUGAUUAAAGUGAAAAAAGUGACAUUUUAUGUCUAGAAAGUGACUUUUCAUCAAAAGUACAAUUACAAAACUAGUUCCCAUUCAUCCUGUGUGUCCAUGCACACUUGUGCUCUUUAUCCGCUCAAAACGCUAUAGAGCGAACGAGAAGGCGCUAGGAGCAAAGGAAAGUGGUUUUUCUAACAAACUCAUAUAAUCAGUUGCCCGACCUACUCCAAUUUGAUUCUUUUCACAUAUUUAGACAUAAUAUAGUACUAUGAAAUGUUUCUGACCCAAAAUAUUACGAAAUAUGAUUGUUUACAUUAAAAUGCAAAAGUUGAUGAAAAAGUAUGAUAAGGUGAAAAAAGUGACAUUUUAUGUCUAGAAAGUGACUUUUCAUCAAAAGUACAAUUACAAAACUAGUUCCCAUUCAUCCUGUGUCUCCAUGCACACUUGUGCUCUUUAUCCGCUCAAAACGCUAUAGAGCGAACGAGAAGGCGCUAGGAGCAAAGGAAAGUGGUUUUUCUAAAAAACUCAUAUAAUCAAGUGCACGACGUACUCCAAUUUGAUUUUUUUCACAUAGUUAGACAUAAUAUAGUACUAUGAAAUGUUUCUGACCCAAAAUAUUACGAAAUAUGAUUGUUUACAUUAAAGUGCAAAAGUUGAUGAAAAAGUAUGAUAAGGUGAAAAAAGUGACAUUUUAUGUCUAGAAAGUGACUUUUCAUCAAAAGUACAAUUACAAAACUAGUUCCCAUUCAUCCUGUGUCUCCAUGCACACUUGUGCUCUUUAUCCGCUCAAAACGCUAUAGAGCGAACGAGAAGGCGCUAGGAGCAAAGGAAAGUGGUUUUUCUAACAAACUCAUAUAAUCAGUUGCCCGACCUACUCCAAUUUGAUUCUUUUCACAUAUUUAGACAUAAUAUAGUACUAUGAAAUGUUUCUGACCCAAAAUAUUACGAAAUAUGAUUGUUUACAUUAAAAUGCAAAAGUUGAUGAAAAAGUAU